rnacentral:rRNA from 1 species
GAUGAACGCUGGCGGCGUGCCUAAUACAUGCAAGUCGAGCGGACAGACGAGGAUCUUGCUCCUCUGGCGUUAGCGGCGGACGGGUGAGAAACACGUGGAUAACCUACCUCUAAGGCUGGGAUACCUUCGGGAAACCGGAGCUAAUAACGGAUAACCUGUUUAAACGCAUGGGUCAACAGUGAUUGGCGGUUUUGCUGUCGCUUAUAGAUUGAUCCGCGUCGCAGUAGCUCGUUGGUAAGGUAAAGGCUUACCGAGGAGACGAUGGGUAGCCGACGUGAGAGGGUGACCGGCCACACUGGAGCUGAGACACGGUCCUGACUCCUACGUGAGGCAGCAGUAGGGAAGCUUCCGCAAUGGGCGAAAGCCUGACGGAGCAACGCCGGCUGAGUGAAGAAGGGCCGUGGAUCGUAAAACGCUGUUAUUAGUGAAGAACAAAUGUGUAAGUAACGAUGCACUUCGUGACGGUACCUAAUCAGAAAGCCACGGCUAACUACGUG